CCACUUGGCACAAAGUUGCUUUUAGCGAUCGCGCGACUCUACGAGAAAUCAGAACUUCUUCAACCAUUGAACAAGACAGACGCGUCUCACCAAGUCAAAGAUACUAAAAAAUUGUUUAAAGUGAUUACUAUUUUCACUAAGUGUACUGUAAAAGUGAAAUAUAUACAAAUAUCUUGAUUCACAGUUUUGAAUAUAAAUGCAUAAACCUAUAAGAGACUACGAAACCUCUUAAAUAGCUGCUAGUGAAAAGAUACUGAUAUUUAAGUAUUAACAAACAUUGAAGUGUUACUGAACUGAAAGUUCCAAG